rnacentral:rRNA from 1 species
UACGGAGGGUGCGAGCGUUGUCCGGAAUCACUGGGCGUAAAGGGCGCGUAGGCGGCCUGGCAAGUCGAUGGUGAAAGCCCGUGGCUCAACUACGGGUCGGCCAUUAAUACUGCUAGGCUCGAGUCGACUAGAGGCAGAUGGAAUUCCGGGUGUAGCGGUGGAAUGCGCAGAUAUCAGGAGGAACACCGGUGGCGAAGGCGGGUCUCUGGGCAACAACUGACGCUGAGGAGCGAAAGCGUGGGGAGCGAACAGG